rnacentral:rRNA from 1 species
GACGAACGCUGGCGGCGUGCUUAACACAUGCAAGUCGAACGGAAAGGCUCUGCUUUUGUGGGGUGCUCGAGUGGCGAACGGGUGAGUAACACGUGAGUAACCUGCCCUUGACUUUGGGAUAACUUCAGGAAACUGGGGCUAAUACCGGAUAGGAGCUCCUGCUGCAUGGUGGGGGUUGGAAAGUUUCGGCGGUUGGGGAUGGACUCGCGGCUUAUCAGCUUGUUGGUGGGGUAGUGGCUUACCAAGGCUUUGACGGGUAGCCGGCCUGAGAGGGUGACCGGACACAUUGGGACUGAGAUACGGCACAGACUCGUACGGGAGGCAGCAGUGGGGAAUAUUGCACAAUGGGCGGAAGCCUGAUGUAGCAAAGCAGCGUGCGGGAUGACGGCCUGCGGGUUGUAAACCGCUUUCGCCUGUGACGAAGCGUGAGUGACGGUAAUGGGUAAAGAAGCACCGGCUAACUACGUG